ACAUACAUCAUGCAUGUCCGGUUUAUGAGGCUCGCACAUACAUAUUGUAACAUGGAAACAGAAGGAAAAGGGAGGUAAGAAAAAGAACAGCAGUAGCCUUGAAUUCCAAAGGGGAACUUAUAAGGUGUUCCGACAAAAGAAUUACUCCCUCCAAUGCAUAUUAUUUGUUAAAAUAUUACAUUUAUCUAGACGUCUUUUAAACAUAUGUACAUUCAUAUUUGGGCAAAUUUGAGUAGUUGAUUUCUGGCGGAUGUUCAUAGAAAACAUAAGAAUAAGAAUGUACUACCGGUUACCGAAUUACAUCCCAUUCAAUAGGGUAGGUUGUCUUUUCCAAACAAAAUAAAAAAAAUAGGGUAGGUUGUCGGGCUUUGUUUAGUUUAGUUUAAGCUUUCACUUUAAAGGGCACACAAUCUGUUGAUGCGAUG
rnacentral:lncRNA from 1 species